AAGGGGGUAAGGGCCCCAGAAGACGACUGGGUCGAUAGGCCGGAAGUACAAGCCAGGCAACUGGUGCAGCUGACCGGUACUAAUAGCCCGAGGACUUGCCGUA
rnacentral:rRNA from 1 species